UGCUCAGGCUAAUAAGAAGUGA
rnacentral:misc_RNA from 1 species